AAUACGUUCCCGGUCCUUGUACACACCGCCCGUCACACCACGAAAGUCGGCAACACCCGAAGCCGGUGGCCUAACCUUAGGGAAGGAGCCGUCGAAGGUGGGGUCGGUGAUUGGGGUG
rnacentral:rRNA from 1 species